rnacentral:rRNA from 1 species
AGUGAACGCUGGCGGUAGGCCUAACACAUGCAAGUCGAACGGCAGCACAGGAGAGCUUGCUCUCUGGGUGGCGAGUGGCGGACGGGUGAGGAAUACAUCGGAAUCUACUCUGUCGUGGGGGAUAACGUAGGGAAACUUACGCUAAUACCGCAUACGACCUACGGGUGAAAGCAGGGGAUCUUCGGACCUUGCGCGAUUGAAUGAGCCGAUGUCGGAUUAGCUAGUUGGCGGGGUAAAGGCCCACCAAGGCGACGAUCCGUAGCUGGUCUGAGAGGAUGAUCAGGCAGACUGGAACUGAGACACGGUCCAGACUCCUACGGGAGGCAGCAGUGGGGAAUAUUGGACAAUGGGCGCAAGCCUGAUCCAGCCAUACCGCGUGGGUGAAGAAGGCCUUCGGGUUGUAAAGCCCUUUUGUUGGGAAAGAAAUCCAGCUGGCUAAUACCCGGUUGGGAUGACGGUACCCAAAGAAUAAGCACCGGCUAACUUCGUGCCAGCCGCCGCGGUAA